AAAAAGCCCAGAGGGUGAGCGAGCUGGUUAAGUUUGCUUUUACUUCUUUGUCUUCGUUACUUAGUCCUCACCAACUCGGUUAACUUUUCUUCCCUCGGAACAAUUUUCCGCGCGACCCCCAGCCACCCCAGUUGUUUUAGAACUGCUCUUCCUUCCGUUUCCCAAAACUUUCACUACCUUUUUUUUUUUCCUGGGUUUUGUCGGUUUCCUGUUAAUGUUAUUUGCCAGUUAGCCACGGGAAGAUUCGACACGUAGUGCUCAUUUGCAGUUUGUGCGAUUAAGUGUUUUGUGUUUUUUUCCCCUGCUAAAGUUCUAGAACUUAGUUGUGCGCACGCGCACGCACAAACCCACAAGUGCACUUAAAGCUCUUGUUUUACAGCUGAAAAGCUGGAGGCCCAGCGGGGGGAAGUAACUUGGGGGGAGGAAGGGAACCAGCGGGUGGGAGAAAGCUGGUCUUAGGAGCAGAUUCUAGGGUGACCAGUCUGAUCGCCAGUAAUUAAUAGGUACCCCUAUUUCCAGGUGCCUCCUUGUUCAGUGUAAGUAUCACCCUUUCUGUAAGAGCUUCUCUGACUUUCCUGGCUCUUGUUGGAAGUUGGGCUCCUUUCAGAAUCUUUUAGGCGUCAGGCCCUGUGCAGCAUCAAGGACAGGCCUUCUCAAUGGUUUGGAAUAGACACUGCUAACAAGAGUAUUAGUAGUAAACUAAGAAGAACAGAGAAAUUGAAUGAAAAGUGAGAACAUGGAGAGAGGCAAAAUGUGCAGGGACCAAAGGCAGCAACAAACUCAAUAUAAGUGAACACACUGAACACACCUAUCAAGACACAUAGCAAAAAAAAAAUAAAUAAAUAAAAAAAUCAAAACCAAAACCAAAAUAAUACCAAGGACCUCAUGGAGAAAAAGCUGGUUCUAGGUCUGGAGAAGGGAAAGUUCAAAAUGAUGCUGGAAUAAGUAUCCUGUUCUGACAGAAGGAAAGAUGUGCCCAAGGAAGUGAUGGAAACAUGUCAAAAAGAUACAGAGACCAGCUGCGAUGGGCUCCCAUAAGCCUUCCCAAUGAUCAAACCAGUGACAAAGUUAUGGCCGUGAAGUUUGAAUGGAUGUGUGGCACUUCCAGACCUAGCUCAUCAAAGCCUCCCAUGUCUAAUCCUAGCAUUAUUACUACAUCCGCUAGAUGAAUGAAGAGAUCUUCAAAGACUUACAGAAGAGACAGGAUAAAAGGAUCUUGGGUCCCUGAGUGACUGUGUGGAGUAGAGACCAUCCACUGACCUGCACUUCAAUGUCAGGUCUUGACCUAGACUUGGUGUAUCUGACAGCUGAGAUCCUUGUGCUGAGCCAUAUAGAAGCUGUAAGAUUGAUCACAUUUCUGAAGGAGGAUUCUCCCAGAUGCCACAUUGAAGCAGGUGAAAUAAAUGCUAAAUCAAGCCAUCAGCUGGCAUUUGCUGACUUCUGUGGUAUAAAUUCUCCCGCUGUAGCUGAUUUCAAGCUACUGAUAUGACAUCACCGAACAGGGAGUUGGGAAGAAAUGUGCACAUCAGUAGUGUUUCCACCAUGGAGAGGCAAUCAAUGACAAUAACCCCAAAGGAAAAGAGUAAAUAGGAGGACAAGAAAUAAUUCCAUGGACCAGGAGGACUGAAAAGGUUUGGAGCUUUCCUAGACAAUUUAGAGGCACCUACAAAAGUAAGCUUUCCACAAUAGGAUAACAAAGGAUUUCAAUGGAACCAGCAAAGAAAGGCAGAGGAACCUGAAGACUUGGAGGAUCGCUUUUCUGAGAAGACUUGCCCAGCAAAACACCUCGCCCACAGCCUCCUCUUGCCAGCUAGUCCUAAAGGAGCUCCCUGUCAGCAGAGCCGGAGCAUCUGCCUUGAUCCCCUGGCCCCACGCUCCAAAGUGAUUCAGAGAAGCCAGCAGUUUCUUUCAGUGCUCAGCUGGCAGCUGUCUCCUUUGAUAAAUACUCCUUUUGGGGGCAGGGGGGCUUUUUGUUUUUUCCUUCACCCUUAACAGAUUUUCCUUUAAAAAAAAACAUCGCCAAUGAAAUAGAAUGAAGCUUACUUCAUAGUUUGAACAUUGGUUAAGUCCACAGGAAUAUAAAAUACCAUUUCUCUUGCCUUUUGUCUCUUUCUUUCUUUUUUUAAAAAAGUAUUUGUUUUGGGUGCACUGCUAUUAGCUAGGUCUUUUUCUGGGUGUGGCUGAAAUUGCCUGAGGGAGGAGGUGUGGGUGGCGUAUGAGAGUCAGCGGAGGAGUCCUGCACUGAUGAACAAGUAAAACGUGUGUGUGUGUGUGUGUGUGUGUGAGAGAGAGAGAGAGAGAGAGAGAGAAACACUGACUUAGGAAAUAUUAUUAUAUUUCCAGUUGUUCAAAGCAGAGCUGAUGAUUCCUUGAACAAUUUUAAAAUUUACUUUUUACCCUCUAUUUGAAAUUUCGCUGGAACAAGGGCUUUGGGUCCAGUUCCUGCAUUGCCUCAAAGGGUCCUUGUUGUGAAAUGCUAAGGGCUGGACAGACUAGAAAUCCUGAUUCCUUCCCCUUGCUCUCCUCCUCCCAUUGCCUUUUUUCUAACAUAUUCUAGGGUGAAAGCUUAGAAAAUCAUCCUAACUUCUAGAAGACACUAGCCGGCAAAAUAUACCUCUUUACUUCUCUGGAUUAAAAGAAAAUUCUGAGAUCUUUCUCUAUGUCAAAAUGAUACCUAUAUUUCAGAACCCAGAUAACAUACUUCCCUCAUCAUGAAGGAUCCUCUAAUUCUUCCAAAUCAAAAAAAAAAAUUUUUUUAAUUAAAAAAGUGGUUUUGGCCAUGCCGGAGCCCUGAUGAAAUUCCCAGGCCAGGGAUCAAACCUGCAUUGAAAUAUGUAGAUACAUACACUCUCUCCUAAACUUCUAAAGAGUAUGUAAGAAUAGAUAGUCAUGCUCUGUUCAUCUGUGAUGGGAAUUUAGUGACUGUCAGGUGCUGGGUUCAACACCUUACAUGGAUUAACAUUGUAGGUAAAUGCACCUUUUAUCUACAUUCUGCAUUUGAGCAAAGAGGUUAGAUGACCUGCUCAAGGCACUGGUAAAUGGUAUAGCCACUUAUUUGAUAAAGAUAGUACUCUAAUUUUUGCUGAUUUUUUACUAUGUUUUAUUUACCUUUUUGCUUGCAACAAUAAUUAGUAUUUGUAAAAAGAUUAACAUUUUACCCAUUCAUCAGCUCAUUAAUGUCUGUGAUGUUGUUAUUAUUUCCCUAUUUUAUCAGUGAGUUUGACUCCCCACAUAGGAGGUAUAUGGCAGAGCCAGUAUUAGGCCAGGUUAUUUGAUUAUAGGUUUUGCCCUAUGUCAGGCCACUGAACUCCCUUGCCUGGCCUCAUUCAAGGUCAGCUUGGUGUUUUCAGUGCCUUUGUAGGGCCAGAACUUUCCCUUAACUAUGCUACCCAAAGGUCUAAGUUAUGGUAACAGGGCAAGGGCAGGGCCCAUCAUGGCCCAGGCUUAAUCUAAGAGCUGCCUUAAGGAAGCAAUAUUCAGAUCUUUCUCAAGUCAUAGAGGCAGGCAUCUGUAUCCAUGAGUUUUGCACCUCUAGAUAAGGAGAGCUGACUGUAUUCAUUGUACCAUGCUAUUUUUAUCUUAUUUUUGUCUUUUUAGGGCCAUACCUGUGGCAUAUGGAGGUUCCCAGGCUA